GACGAACGCUGGCGGCGUGCUUAACACAUGCAAGUCGAACGGAAAGGCCCCCUUGUUGGGUACUCGAGUGGCGAACGGGUGAGUAACACGUCAGUAACCUACCCUUGACUUUGGGAUAACUUCAGGAAACUGGGGCUAAUACCGGAUAGGAGCUCCUGCUGCAUGGUGGGGGUUGGAAAGUUUCGGCGGUUGGGGAUGGACUCGCGGCUUAUCAGCUUGUUGGUGGGGUAGUGGCUGACCAAGGCUUGGACGGGUAGCCGGCCUGAGAGGGUGACCGGCCACAUGGGGACGGAGAUACGGCCCAGACGCCUACGGGAGGCAGCAGGGGGGAAUAUUGCACAGUGGGCGGAAGCCUGAUGCAGCAACGCCGCGUGCGGGAUGACGGGCUGCGGGUGGUAAACCGCUUUCGCCUGGGAAGAAGAGUGAGUGACGGUAAUGGGUAAAGAAGCACCGGCUAACUACGUG
rnacentral:rRNA from 1 species